rnacentral:rRNA from 1 species
AGAGUUUGAUCAUGGCUCAGAACGAACGCUGGCGGCGUGGAUAAGACAUGCAAGUCGAACGGGAUCAAGUUUGUAGCAAUACAAAUUUGGUCCAGUGGCAAACGGGUGCGUAACACGUGAGCAAUCUGCCGGGGAGUGGGGGAUAGCUCGCCGAAAGGCGAAUUAAUACCGCAUGUGGCCAGGAAGGACAUCCUUCCACAGCCAAAGUCGCAAGACGCUUCCUGAUGAGCUCGCGGCCUAUCAGCUAGUUGGUGAGGUAACGGGCUCACCAAGGCGAUGACGGGUAGCUGGUCUGAGAGGACGACCAGCCACACUGGAACUGAGACACGGUCCAGACACCUACGGGUGGCAGCAGUCGAGUAAUUUUUCACAAUGGGGAAACCCUGAUGGAGCGACGCCGCGUGGAGGACGAAGGUCUUCGGAUUGUAAACUCCUGUCAUGCGGGAACAAGAAAGUGAUAGUACCGCAAGAGGAAGAGACGGCUAACUCUGUG